rnacentral:rRNA from 1 species
AUUGAACGCUGGCGGCAUGCCUUACACAUGCAAGUCGAACGGUAACAGGUCUUCGGAUGCUGACAAGUGGCGAACGGGUGAGUAAUACAUCGGAACGUGCCUAGUAGUGGGGGAUAACUACUCGAAAGAGUGGCUAAUACCGCAUGAGAUCUACGGAUGAAAGCAGGGGAUCGCAAGACCUUGUGCUACUAGAGCGGCCGAUGGCAGAUUAGGUAGUUGGUGGGAUAAAAGCUUACCAAGCCGACGAUCUGUAGCUGGUCUGAGAGGACGAUCAGCCACACUGGGACUGAGACACGGCCCAGACUCCUACGGGAGGCAGCAGUGGGGAAUUUUGGACAAUGGGCGCAAGCCUGAUCCAGCAAUGCCGCGUGCAGGAUGAGGGCCUUCGGGUUGUAAACUGCUUUUGUACGGAACGAAAAGCCCUGGGUUAAUACCCUGGGGUCAUGACGGUACCGUAAGAAUAAGCACCGGCUAACUACGUGCCAGCAGCCGCAGUAAUAC